rnacentral:rRNA from 1 species
UGAGGAAUAUUGGGCAAUGCCCGCAAGGGUGACCCAGCAACGCCGCGUGGAGGAUGAAUGUCGUAAGAUUGUAAACUCCUGUUAGAGGGGAAGAAUAGUACCGGUUGGACCGGUAUAUGACUGUACCCUCAGAGAAAGCCCCGGCUAACUACGUGCCAGCAGCCGCGGUAAUACGUAGGCAGCAAGCGUUGUUCGGAGUUACUGGGCGUAAAGAGUGCGUAGGCGGUUUUCUAAGGUCGGUGUGAAAUCUCCCGGCUUAACUGGGAGGGUGCGCCGAAGACUGGGAAGCUGGAGUGUGGGAAAGGCAGGCGGAAUUCCUGGUGUAGCGGUGAAAUGCGUAGAUAUCAGGAGGAACACCGGCGGUGUAGACGGCUUGCUAGACCAUAACUGACGCUGAGGCACGAAAGCGUGGGUAGCAAACA